CAGUCUCGAACAAUGUGUGACUUUGACGUGCCCCAUGUUCACUCAAACUUUGCUGAUAAUUGAAACCAAAAUGCUGGGUUGCGUAGUUAAAUUGUGUAAAUAAUACUACAAGAAAUAAGAAAGAUACUUGGAUCACAUAAUAUCAUCAAAGACACGACACGUCGAAAUCGAGUCGCUUAAGAAAUUGCUAGAACAAGCAGUGUCUAAAUCUCCCAUGGAAACAAUGAAUAAUGCAACGACCAUGUUAAGGGUUCUAGAAGAUAUGCCAAGAAAACAACAACAAAAAACAAGUAGAGAAACUUGGAGAUGGCAGAGAAUAAUAUCUUGGAGAAUUGGGCGUAUCUUUGCCAACGCUUCUAACCACAGCAUUUAACACUUUCGAAGACCUGAAUAGAUUACGUUUUUUUUAUUGUUAUAAUGUUUUAUCGAUAAUAUCCGGACGACCGAGGCUUGCUCGGAUUUUU